rnacentral:rRNA from 1 species
ACUGAACGCUGGCGGCAUGCCUUACACAUGCAAGUCGAACGGCAGCACGGGAGCAAUCCUGGUGGCGAGUGGCGAACGGGUGAGUAAUAUAUCGGAACGUGCCCAGUAGUGGGGGAUAACUGCUCGAAAGAGCAGCUAAUACCGCAUACGACCUGAGGGUGAAAGGGGGGGAUCGCAAGACCUCUCGCUAUUGGAGCGGCCGAUAUCAGAUUAGCUAGUUGGUGGGGUAAAGGCCUACCAAGGCAACGAUCUGCAGUUGGUCUGAGAGGACGACCAGCCACUCUGGGACUGAGACACGGACCAGACUCCGACGGGAGGCAGAAGUGGGGAAUUUGGGACAAUGUGCGCAAGCCUGAUCCAGCGAUGCCGCGUGCAGGAAGAAGGCCUUCGGGUUGUAAACUGCUUUUGUCAGGGAAGAAAUCCUCUAGGUUAAUACCCUUGGGGGGAUGACGGUACCUGAAGAAUAAGCACCGGCUAACUACGUGCCAGCCGCCGCGGUAAUAC